UACGUAGGGUGCAAGCGUUGUCCGGAAUUAUUGGGCGUAAAGAGCUCGUAGGCGGUCUGUCGCGUCUGCUGUGAAAACUCGGGGCUUAACCCCGGGCCUGCAGUGGGUACGGGCAGACUAGAGUGCGGUAGGGGAGACUGGAAUUCCUGGUGUAGCGGUGAAAUGCGCAGAUAUCAGGAGGAACACCGGUGGCGAAGGCGGGUCUCUGGGCCGAUAUUGACGCUGGAGGAAGCGAAAGCGUGGGGAGCAAACAGG
rnacentral:rRNA from 1 species